rnacentral:rRNA from 1 species
UACGUAGGGUGCGAGCGUUGUCCGGAAUUAUUGGGCGUAAAGAGCUUGUAGGCGGUUUGUCGCGUCUGCUGUGAAAAUCCGGGGCUCAACCCCGGACUUGCAGUGGGUACGGGCAGACUAGAGGUAUGCAGGGGAGAACGGAAUUCCUGGUGUAGCGGUGAAAUGCGCAGAUAUCAGGAGGAACACCAAUAGCGAAGGCAGCUCGCUGGGACGGUAUUGACGCUAAGGCGCGAAAGCGUGGGGAGCAAACAGG